rnacentral:tRNA from 1 species
GGUUACUUAUCUGGGAUAUGCUUUGUCUUGAAAAUAAGGCGGAAGUGUUCGAUUCACUUAGUGGCUU